rnacentral:rRNA from 1 species
GACGAACCGUGCGAACGUUGUUCGGAAUCACUGGGCUUAAAGGGCGCGUAGGCGGCAGUUCAAAGUCUGGGGUGAAAGUCCUCCCAGCUCAACUGGAGAAGUGCCUUGGAUACUGGAUUGCUCGAGGGAGGUAGGGGUCGAGGGAACUUCUGGUGGAGCGGUGAAAUGCGUUGAUAUCAGAAGGACGCCGGUGGCGAAAGCGCUCGACUGGACCUCUCGUGA